UGCAAGUCGAGCGGAUGAAGAGAGCUUGCUCUCUGAUUCAGCGGCGGACGGGUGAGUAAUGCCUAGGAAUCUGCCUGGUAGUGGGGGACAACGUUUCGAAAGGAACGCUAAUACCGCAUACGUCCUACGGGAGAAAGCAGGGGACCUUCGGGCCUUGCGCUAUCAGAUGAGCCUAGGUCGGAUUAGCUAGUUGGUGAGGUAAUGGCUCACCAAGGCGACGAUCCGUAACUGGUCUGAGAGGAUGAUCAGUCACACUGGAACUGAGACACGGUCCAGACUCCUACGGGAGGCAGCAGUGGGGAAUAUUGGACAAUGGGCGAAAGCCUGAUCCAGCCAUGCCGCGUGUGUGAAGAAGGUCUUCGGAUUGUAAAGCACUUUAAGUUGGGAGGAAGGGUUGUAGAUUAAUACUCUGCAAUUUUGACGUUACCGACAGAAUAAGCACCGGCUAACUCUGUGCCAGCAGCCGCGGUAAUACAGAGGGUGCAAGCGUUAAUCGGAAUUACUGGGCGUAAAGCGCGCGUAGGUGGUUUGUUAAGUUGGAUGUGAAAGCCCCGGGCUCAACCUGGGAACUGCAUUCAAAACUGACAAGCUAGAGUAUGGUAGAGGGUGGUGGAAUUUCCUGUGUAGCGGUGAAAUGCGUAGAUAUAGGAAGGAACACCAGUGGCGAAGGCGACCACCUGGACUGAUACUGACACUGAGGUGCGAAAGCGUGGGGAGCAAACAGGAUUAGAUACCCUGGUAGUCCACGCCGUAAACGAUGUCAACUAGCCGUUGGGAGCCUUGAGCUCUUAGUGGCGCAGCUAACGCAUUAAGUUGACCGCCUGGGGAGUACGGCCGCAAGGUUAAAACUCAAAUGAAUUGACGCG
rnacentral:rRNA from 1 species